CGCGGUGGAUACGUUCCCGGGCCUUGUACACACCGCCCGUCAAGCCACGGAAGCCGAGGGCGCCUGAAGUCGGGGGAUUAAAUCCCUGCCGAGGGCGAAAUGGGUAACUGGGGCU
rnacentral:rRNA from 1 species